CCUACGGGAGGCAGCAGUGAGGAAUAUUGGUCAAUGGGCGCGAGCCUGAACCAGCCAAGUCGCGUGAGGGAAGACGGCCCUACGGGUUGUAAACCUCUUUGGCCGGGGAGCAACAGUCGCCACGUGUAGCGCCACUGAGAGUACCCGGCGAAAAAGCCUCGGCUCACUCCGUGCCAGCAGCCGCGGUAAUAAGUAGGAUGCGAGCGUGAUCCAGAUGUAUUGGUGUUAAAGGGUGCGUAGGCGGAGCGGUAAGUCAGUGGUAACAUUGAGGGGCUCAACCCCUUCCCGCCAUUGAAACUGGCGCUCUUGAGUGGAAGAGUAGUAUGCGGAAUGCGUGGGGUAGCGGUGACAUGCAUAGCUAUCACGCAGAACCCCGAUUGCGAAGGCAGCAUGCCGGCUUCCGACUGACGCUGAAGCACGAAAGCGUGGGGAUCGAACAGGAUUAGAUACCCCAGUAGUC
rnacentral:rRNA from 1 species